GGUUGAAGCAUGACCGUAAGGACAUGUGGACAGUAUGGGAGUGAGAAUGUUGGCAUGAGUAGCGAGAUGUGGGUGAGAAUCCCACAGGCCGUAAACCCAAGGUUUCCCGGGGAAGGUUCGUCCGCCCUGGGUUAGUCGGGACCUAAGCUGAGGCCGAAAGGCGUAGGUGAUGGACAACAGGUUGAUAUUCCUGUACUACCGAUUAUCUUUUCAGAGAGGGGAUGACACAGUAGUCUCAGCUA
rnacentral:rRNA from 1 species